GUGCCUACGGGAGCAGCAGUGGGGAAUAUUGCACAAUGGGGGAAACCCUGAUGCAGCAACGCCGCGUGAGCGAUGAAGUAUUUCGGUAUGUAAAGCUCUAUCAGCAGGGAAGAAAAUGACGGUACCUGACUAAGAAGCCCCGGCUAACUACGUGCCAGCAGCCGCGGUAAUACGUAGGGGGCAAGCGUUAUCCGGAUUUACUGGGUGUAAAGGGAGCGUAGAGGGCCAUUCAAGCCAGAUGUGAAAGCCCGGGGCUCAACCCCGGGACUGCAUUUGGAACUGUGCGGCUAGAGGGUCGGAGAGGG
rnacentral:rRNA from 1 species